CCUACGGGAGGCAGCAGUGGGGAAUAUUGCACAAUGGGGGAAACCCUGAUGCAGCGACGCCGCGUGAAGGAAGAAGGAUUUCGGUAUGUAAACUUCUAUCAGCAGGGAAGAAAAAGACGGUACCUGACUAAGAAGACCCGGCGAACUCAGGGCCAGAAGCCGCGGUAAGCCGUAGGGGGCAAGCGUUAUCCGGAUUUACUGGGUGUAAAGGGAGCGGAGGCGGUUUGGCAAGUCAGAGGUGAAAGCCCGGGGCUCAACUCCGGGACUGCUUUUGAAACCGUUGAACUCGAUUGCAGGAGAGGUAAGUGGAUUUCCUAGUGUAGCGGUGACAUUCGUAGAUAUUAGGAGGAACCCCAGUGGCGCAGGCGGCUUACUUGACUGUAACUGACGCUGAGGCUCGAAAGCGUGGGGAGCAAACAGGAUUAGAUACCCCUGUAGUC
rnacentral:rRNA from 1 species